rnacentral:rRNA from 1 species
CCCUUAGAUGUUCUGGGCCGCACGCGCGCUACACUGUUCGACGCAGCGAGUCUUAACCUUGACCGAAAGGUUUGGGUAAUCUUCAGCAAAGUCGAACGUGAUGGGGAUCGAUCAUUGCAAUUAUUGAUCGUGAACGAGGAAUUCCUAGUAAGUGCAAGUCAUCAGCUUGCGCUGAUUACGUCCCUGCCCUUUGUACACACCGCCCGUCGCUACUACCGAUUGAAUGGUUUAGUGAGAUCUCUGGAUUGACGCUGGCUAGGGGGCGACCCUUGGCCAGGCUGUCGAGAAACUGCUCAAACUCGAUCAUUUAGAGGAAGUAAAAGUCGUAACA